GAUGAACGCUAGCGGCAGGCUUAAUACAUGCAAGUCGUGGGGCAGCAUGGUGUAGCAAUACACUGAUGGCGACCGGCAAACGGGUGCGGAACACGUACGCAACCUUCCCAAAACUGGUGAAUAGCCCUCCGAAAGGAGGAUUAAUACACCGUAACAUAAUGAGAUGGCAUCACCUUAUUAUUAUAGCUCCGGCGGUUUUGGAUGGGCGUGCGCCUGAUUAGGUAGUUGGCGGGGUAACGGCCCACCAAGCCUGCGAUCAGUAACUGGUGUGAGAGCACGACCAGUCACACGGGCACUGAGACACGGGCCCGACUCCUACGGGAGGCAGCAGUAAGGAAUAUUGGUCAAUGGACGCAAGUCUGAACCAGCCAUGCCGCGUGAAGGAUGAAGGUCCUCUGGAUUGUAAACUUCUUUUAUAGGGGACGAAAAAAGGGAAUUCUUUCUCGUCUGACGGUACCCUAGGAAUAAGCACCGGCUAACUCCGUGCCAGCCGCCGCCGUAAAAC
rnacentral:rRNA from 1 species